rnacentral:pre_miRNA from 1 species
UUAGUACUCCCUCUGUCCGGAAAUACUUGUCAUUAAAAUGGAUGUAUCUAGAUGUAUUUUAGUUCUAGAUACAUUCAUUUUCAUCCAUUUUGAUGACAAGUAUUUCCGGAUGGAGGGAGUAUGUU